rnacentral:rRNA from 1 species
GACGAACCGAGCGAACGUUGUUCGGAAUCACUGGGCUUAAAGGGCGCGUAGGCGGGCGGUCAAGUCGAGGGUGAAAGCCCCCAGCUCAACUGGGGAAGUGCCUCCGAUACUGGCCGUCUCGAGGGGGAUAGGGGCGUGCGGAACUUCCGGUGGAGCGGUGAAAUGCGUAGAUAUCGGAAGGAACAUCGGUGGCGAAAGCGGCGCGCUGGAUCCCGUUCUGACGCUGAGGCGCGAAAGCCCAGGGGAGCGAACGGG